rnacentral:lncRNA from 1 species
AAUAAUGAAAGACCUAAAAGAAAAAUUAAUAUGGAUAGAAAAAACCUUAGAAAAUUUAGAUAAAAGUACAUGUGAUAGUUUAUAUAAUUUAAAAAACUCACUACGAGAAGAACAACACAAGAUAAUAAAUAACAUUGAAAAUCUAGAAUUAGAUAUACAUUAUAGCACAGAUAGGAUAAAAUAUUAUACAGAAAUUUGUAACUCUGCAAUUACUACAGGAUAAAAUAAUUAAUGAAUAUAUCUUACGAAAAAAGUAAAU